AUUUAGAGCCAGAUUCAUGAAGAUACUUCAAUGUCUAAAUAUGUGUCUAAGUUGCUACUGGAUUUUUCAAAGUUCUUACCUACUACUAUUAAAAUCAGCUAAGUUCAUUCUUUUGUGAUAUUACGACCAAAGAAUGCACUGUGAAUUGUCAUGAUUAGGAGUGCAAAAAUGCGGUACUUAGUGUUCCUGACAAUCCUGGUAACCGUAACUAUAUUUAAUUGGCAAAUGCCUUUAAAAAUCUAGACCCAAUAAUGACAAACCCAAGAAAGUUCAAGGUUAAAGGGGAAACAAAUCUAAGCAAAGGGUACAAAUCAAGGCAAAAGGCUGACAUUUUCAAAGAGCAUCUCAUCAGUCAGGUGAACCCACACUUCACAGAUCCACCACUGUAACCAGCCAUGGUGAAGCUAAGCUAAGAAAGCUGUGUUCUCCCACAGUGACUGCCCCCAGGACCAGGCUCAGAUGCUACUCUGUUUUUAAGUCACUGCAUGAAAAAAGUUACAGUCUGGAGAAAGAGCAGUUCUGGUAUAUUGAUAGUCUCAAUUCCAGACUAUUCCAGACUGAUUAUCUCAUAUACUCAUUUCUCUCUUUGACACAUGCUGUAGUGCCAGCACCUUCCACAAAGUCAGUGACGCUGGUGUCUCUCUACUGCUGGACUAUGCGCAAGAUACUGCUGAUUGACACCUGCGAUAGAGCUACUCUUACUGCGUGGGUUGCUGGAGCACAAAAAGGAGGUGGGACUACUACACUGCAGCUGGAUGAAUGUGCUGCUGUAAGUAUUGGACUGCUUGGGGUUUAACUGUGAUGAAGACUUCUCCAGCUUCACUCUCAAAAACUAUUUUUUAUAUUCUUGUUGCAGCAGGCAGAUCAUGUUAACUAACAUCAUACAAGGUAUAUGUAUCACCUGGAGUGAGGUUGCAUCCUAGUCCAUCAGAAUAUUCACAAGUCCUUCAACUCUGGCAGUCACCAGGAGCAAAAAUUGAAGGACUUUAUCCUCAGAAAGGCCAAAUACGGAUCCUAAUACUAGGGGAUUUCUCUUUAAAUUAAGCUGUUCACAUCUUUAUGGACGAAAGAGCUCAAUAAAAAUCAUAUCCAUUUACUCUUGCA
rnacentral:lncRNA from 1 species